GGAUUAGAUACCCUGGUAGUCCACGCCGUAAACGAUGUCUACUAGCCGUUGGGGAACGUGAGUCCUUGGUGGCGCAGCUAACGCACUAAGUAGACCGCCUGGGGAGUACGGCCGCAAGGUUAAAACUCAAAUGAAUUGACGGGGGCCCGCACAAGCGGUGGAGCAUGUGGUUUAAUUCGAUGCAACGCGAAGAACCUUACCAGGUCUUGACAUCCUUGGAAUCUUGCAGAGAUGCGAGAGUGCCUUCGGGAAUCAAGUGACAGGUGCUGCAUGGCUGUCGUCAGCUCGUGCCG
rnacentral:rRNA from 1 species